rnacentral:rRNA from 1 species
CCUACGGGAGGCUGCAGUGGGGAAUAUUGGGCAAUGGGCGCAAGCCUGACCCAGCAACGCCGCGUGAAGGAAGAAGGCUUUCGGGUUGUAAACUUCUUUUGACAGGGAAGAGCAGAAGACGGUACCUGUCGAAUAAGCCACGGCUAACUACGUGCCAGCAGCCGCGGUAAUACGUAGGUGGCAAGCGUUGUCCGGAUUUACUGGGGGUAAAGGGCGUGUAGCCGGGCUGACAAGUCAGAUGUGAAAUCCGGGGGCUCAACCCCCGAACUGCAUUUGAAACUGUUGGUCUUGAGUAUCGGAGAGGCAGGCGGAAUUCCUAGUGUAGCGGUGAAAUGCGUAGAUAUCGCGCAGAACUCCGAUUGCGAAGGCAGCGUACCGGCGCCAGACUGACGCUGAGGCACGAAAGCGUGGGGAUCGAACAGGAUUAGAUACCCCUGUAGUC